rnacentral:rRNA from 1 species
AUUGAACGCUGGCGGCACGCUUAACACAUGCAAGUCGGACGGCAGCACGAGAGGGGUUACUCCCUGGCUGGCGAGUGGCGGACGGGUGAGUAACGCGUAGGGAACUGCCUAUUGGAGGGGGAUAAGCCGUGGAAACGCUGCGUAAUACCGCAUACGCUCUGAGGAGGAAAGGGUGGGAGCUGGAAACGGCCCAAUCGCUAAUAGAUGAACCUGCGUUAGAUUAGCUAGUUGGUAGGGUAAAGGCCUACCAAGGCGAUGAUCUAUAGCUGGUCUGAGAGGAUGACCAGCCACACUGGAACUGAGAGACGGACCAGACUCCUACGGGAGGCAGCAGUGGGGAAUAUUGGACAAUGGGGGAAAGCCUGAUCCAGCGAUGCCGCGUGUGUGAAGAAGGCCUGCGGGUUGUAAAGCACUUUAGUUGGUGAGGAAAGGGGAUGCGUUAAUAGCGCGUUCAAGUGGCGUUAGCCAAAGAAGAAGCACCGGCAAACUCUGUG